AUUGAACGCUGGCGGCAGGCCUAACACAUGCAAGUCGAGCGAGCGGCGGACGGGUGAGUAAUGUCUGGGAAACUGCCUGAUGGAGGGGGAUAACUACUGGAAACGGUAGCUAAUACCGCAUACCAUCAGAUGUGCCCAUAUGGGAUUAGCUAGUAGGUGGGGUAAUGGCUCACCUAGGCGAUGAUCAGUAGCCGGUCUGAGAGGAGGAACGGCCACAUUGGGACUGAGACACGGCCCAGACUCCUACGGGAGGCAGCAGUGGGGAAUCUUCCGCAAUGGACGAAAGUCUGACGGAGCAACGCCGCGUGAGUGAUGACGGCCUUUGGGUUGUAAAGCACUUUCAGCGGGGAGGCGUUACCCGCAGAAGAAGCACCGGCUAACUCCGUGCCAGCAGCCGCGGUAAUUC
rnacentral:rRNA from 1 species